UGAAAUCUGCAUGGCAAACAUCAUUGCCUUAUGAUACAUUUCUCAAAUUUUCAGAACAUAUCCCUGUUGUUUAGCAGCACGUGAAUGUAUUUGAUUUAUUGUCUUGAUGUCCCUUUGCUUUCCCCAUGUGUUACCAUCAACUGCCUAAUGAAACAGCCUGGGAUUGUGUAAUGACUAACUUAGUGCUUUGAGUUUAAUUCUUUUUCAGCCACUGUGGUAUGUUGAUUACUAUAUUAAUAAUGUGUCUCCUUUAUGUGUUUUUAAAUAGUUACUUGGUCAUGAACUAUUUAUAAGCUUUGGAAACAUGAUUUCAUUUAUUCUGCAGGAUAACUUCAGGAAGUGGGUAUUAAUUCUCACUGUAUAAGUGAAGACAUUAAGCACCAGAGUUUAAGUAGCUUGAUCCACUGAAAGAGAUUCAACUGUGUGGAACCUAUGCCGCGGAGAAUUGCUUUCUGCCAUUGUUAUUGUCCAGCAGUUGCCGAAUAGCUCUGACCUGAGCAAAGCAGUGAAACGCGGUGCUGUUGAGUGGGUUGCCACUGCACCUUUUUCAACUACUCUAGUCUUGUGGAGAAAACACCCCUUCUAAAUUUUUUCUUCAUUGAAUACUCUCCCUCAGCUCCAGGGUACCAUAUAGAGUUUUCUUGUAUUUUAGAGUUACUGUUUUAUCAAAGUGUACCAGUCUUUUGUAUUACAUUUCUCCUGUCUAAAUCAA
rnacentral:lncRNA from 1 species